rnacentral:rRNA from 1 species
AGUGAACGCUGGCGGUAGGCCUAACACAUGCAAGUCGAACGGCAGCACAGUAAGAGCUUGCUCUUACGGGUGGCGAGUGGCGGACGGGUGAGGAAUACAUCGGAAUCUACUUUUUCGUGGGGGAUAACGUAGGGAAACUUACGCUAAUACCGCAUACGACCUACGGGUGAAAGCAGGGGAUCUUCGGACCUUGCGCGAUUGAAUGAGCCGAUGUCGGAUUAGCUAGUUGGCGGGGUAAAGGCCCACCAAGGCGACGAUCCGUAGCUGGUCUGAGAGGAUGAUCAGCCCCACUGGAACUGAGACACGGUCCAGACUCCUACGGGAGGCAGCAGUGGGGAAUAUUGGACAAAGGGCGCAAGCCUAAUCCAGCCAUACCGCGUGGGUGAAGAAGGCCUUCGGGUUGUAAAGCCCUUUUGUUGGGAAAGAAAAGCAGCAGGUUAAUACCCCGCUGUUCUGACGGUACCCAAAGAAUAAGCACCGGCUAACUUCGUG